rnacentral:rRNA from 1 species
UACAGAGGUCUCAAGCGUUGUUCGGAUUCAUUGGGCGUAAAGGGUGCGUAGGCGGCGCGGUAAGUCGGGUGUGAAAUCUCGGAGCUUAACUCCGAAACUGCAUUCGAUACUGCCGUGCUUGAGGACUGGAGAGGAGACUGGAAUUUACGGUGUAGCGGUGAAAUGCGUAGAUAUCGUAAGGAAGACCAGUGGCGAAGGCGGGUCUCUGGACAGUUCCUGACGCUGAGACGCGAAAGCGUGGGGAGCAAACGGG